AUUGAACGCUGGCGGCGUGCUUAACACAUGCAAGUCGAUCGGUAACAGGUGUAGCAAUACAUGCUGACGAGAGGCGGACGGGUGAGGAACGCUUGGGAAUCUGCCUAUCAGCGGGGGACAACCCGGGGAAACCCGGGCUAAUACCGCAUACGCUCUACGGAGGAAAGCCGGGGACCGCAAGGCCUGGCACUGAUAGAUGAGCCCAAGUCGGAUUAGCUAGUUGGCGGGGUAACGGCCCACCAAGGCGACGAUCCGUAGCUGGUCUGAGAGGACGAUCAGACACACCGGAACUGAGACACGGUCCGGACUCCUACGGGAGGCAGCAGUGGGGAAUAUUGGACAAUGGGCGAAAGGCUGAUCCAGCGACGCCGCGUGGGUGAAGAAGGCCUGCGGGUUGUAAAGCCCUUUCGGUAGGGACGAAAGCUCUCGACCUAACACGUCGGGAGGUUGACUUAACCUACAAAAGAAGCACCGGCUAACUCUGUGCCAGCAGCCGCCGUAACAC
rnacentral:rRNA from 1 species